rnacentral:rRNA from 1 species
AUUGAACGCUGGCGGCAGGCCUAACACAUGCAAGUCGAACGGUAACAGGAAGCAGCUUGCUGCUUCGCUGACGAGUGGCGGACGGGUGAGUAAUGUCUGGGAAGCUGCCUGAUGGAGGGGGAUAACUACUGGAAACGGUAGCUAAUACCGCAUAAUGUCGCAAGACCAAAAAGGGGGACCUUCGGGCCUCUUGCCAUCGGAUGUGCCCAGAUGGGAUUAGCUUGUUGGUGGGGUAACGGCUCACCAAGGCGACGAUCCCUAGCUGGUCUGAGAGGAUGACCAGCCACACUGGAACUGAGACACGGUCCAGACUCCUACGGGAGGCAGCAGUGGGGAAUAUUGCACAAUGGGCGCAAGCCUGAUGCAGCCAUGCCGCGUGUAUGAAGAAGGCCUUCGGGUUGUAAAGUACUUUCAGCGGGGAGGAAGGGAGUAAAGUUAAUACCUUUGCUCAUUGACGUUACCCGCAGAAGAAGCACCGGCUAACUCCGUG